rnacentral:lncRNA from 1 species
CUGGCCCUGUGCCUGUCGGCAGUGGGUGCUGUGUGGCCUGGGCCAGCAGCCUGAUCUCUCUGAGCCUCUGGUUCCUCUGGUGUGGCCUGUGUUCAGUUGUGGAUGGCCGUCAGGGUUCUGCUGUGGGGACGAGACCCAAGGACGCCCACAGUCACUGUCAUUGCUGGUAUAAGCCGGCUGACAUUUGCGGGGGCCACUGGCCCUCAAAC